rnacentral:rRNA from 1 species
GACGAACCGUGCGAACGUUAUUCGGAGUCACUGGGCUUAAAGCGCGUGUAGGCGGACUGCCGCGUCGGUCGCUGAAAUCCCCCGGCUCAACCGGGGAACGGGCACCGAAACGGGCAGUCUGGAGGGAGGUAGGGGGGGCUGGAACUUCCGGUGGAGCGGUGAAAUGCGUUGAGAUCGGAAGGAACGCCCGUGGCGAAGGCGAGCCCCUGGACCUUUUCUGACGCUGAGACGCGAAAGCUAGGGGAGCGAACGGG